ACUAUAGUGUGAUAAACUCUUGGAAAAUGUUCAUUUUAUAAAAUAAAAAAAGAAAAUAUUAGAGAGCGCACAACGUCUCGCAUUGUCUCUUUUCCCCUUCGUCACCUUCUUCGUUCAUCUCAGCGACCACCACUCCUCUUUCUUUACUCUCGUCACGAGAGGCGUUUGCUUGGAGAAGCUUGCCUUUAGACAUUAAAAUUGGCGACAGCAUUCCUGGCGGAGCAACAAAUUUGGAUGGUAGGAUAAUUGUAAAGGCUACAAAAGCGUGGAAUGAUUCAACACUCAACAAGAUAGUGCAAUUGACUGAAGAAGCACGCUUGAAUAAACCAAAGCUUCAAAGGUGGCUUGACCAAUUUGGUGAGCAAUACAGCAAGGUUGUUGUAGUCUUGUCUGUAGCUAUUCCUCUCAUUGUUCCAUUUCUCUUCAAGUGGCCAUUCUUUGGAACAUCAGCCAUUAUUCGUAGGAUUGAUGUGGAGUCAUACACUUCUGUACACACUCUGAAUAUGUUUUCUCCAAUGAUAGAGCAGGCUUAGUUUGAGCUGGGUUUCAUCUGGGAUGUUUGAGAUAUUUCAUGGGAUUGAGCUUAAAAGAGACAUUGGUUAUGAUGAAAGAGGACAAAGACUCAUCAGGUACAUUAUGGAAGUGUAGCAAUCCAAUAAAUCAUCUCAAGCAGGUAUUUACAGAUUUUUUUUUUAACUUAACCAAUCUAUUGCUAUUUUGUUUUUACUGGCAUACGUAAUUAAUUUUAUUUAAUUAGUGAUAAAUGCUUUAGUUGUUAUGGAUCUUAUUGUUUUUAUUAUGGUAAUAAACUAUACCCUCUUGUUUCUUUUACCAUUAGCAUAUUACACUUUAUUUACUUUUCUUGUAAGUUUUGAUGGAAAAAUAGGUUAAAUAUGUUAUGAUAAACCUAUACAAAAGAAUAUUUGGGAAGAUUUUUUUUUUCUUUGAAAGAGUGGAGAAGGUAAUUUUAUUUAAAAUAAAAAUUGCAGUUUCUAACUUAGGCACAUGUUUCAAUUCAAAUUAACGCACACACACACACAUAUA